UAAACGUAUUCCAUGGGUCCAAACAUGUCUCAUCAUCGUAUAUCCCAUUCAAAAUGUCCAGGUGGUUUUAGGAAAAAAAAAAAAUAAAUAAGCGAAUGAAUCUGAACUUUACUCUUAAAACUGGAGUCCUUUUUCUGUCUCAGUUGCCUCUCACUUUCAUUCUCUUGGAUCAUGGUAAACAUGUUCACUCUGCUGGCCCGACCUCCUCCCUUACUUUCUUUCUCCUCCCCCCAUCAUAACACACAUCGCAGCCACACGUCUACCAUUCUUAGUCCACUGACAAAUUCACAGAGAGGUCACACGGCGCACACACAAACAACGGCUUCUCAGCCGCCUCCACAACCUGCAACAAACCAAGCCCGUUGCUUUUUUUUUUUGCUCUUUCUUUUUCUUCUCAUCUUCACACAACUCAACUUUCCUUUGAAAAUCAUAAAACACGAUUUUUGUCUCAGUCUUUUUCUGCAGGCGGCUCACAUCCGGGAGCUCCAUGAAGGAGGUAAUUAGCUCAAAUCCCUUGCUACAUUAACAGGGUUGGUAGUUUAAAUCUUUUAAUACUGCAAUGGAAUUCCAAUGGGAAUAUUAGCACAGUCCAUUACUUACCAUAGCAAAUAUGUUUAGCACUCUAAGCCUUCUUCUCCAUGUUAAUAUGGCUCAAAAUAAUGAGUCGGAUUUGGUUGUGUAACAGAACAGAGGCCUCCAUUCACUCUAGGCACUUAUCAAAAGCAGAGGCCUUUCUGUCACCCUCAAGAUCAACUACAGUCUUUAGCAAACUGAGAUUUAAGCUGGUGCAGUGCAUAAGCCCAUAUAUUUUAGGCAGAAGUAUCACCAUAAACAGCUUACUAGGCUGUCCUUUGCACACAGACACGCGUGUUAUUCCAAAACACUGGCAGGGCUGCUGGAGCUCAUCCGCAAAUUUUCAUAUCUAAAGAAAUCUGUGAAAACAUUUAUGUUACCUAUUAGAUAAUGAAAACAUCAACAUGGCAUUACAUUAUUACGGUGUUGUGCUUUUUCAUUUUUGAAAAAAUAGCACUUUACAUAAACAAUUUAGGAUUCAGUGGCUAGAGUGCUAAAAAAAAGUUUUUAAAUCAAUUCAGCAGCUCCCUGUGGGUUGUGGUAUUGAUUUUUUGGGUUUGUUUAGUGGUUUUAAAGUGCUUUAUGGCCCCUUCACCUCAUGAUGUUGCUGACUUUAUUUUACAUAUGGACCGCUGAGGACUCCAAGGUUCUCCAACAAUUCAUUAUCAACUAUUUCUAGAGAUAAGUGUAAUUUUUGGUUUAGUUGAGAAUUUGGCAGGAUAAUGAAGUUUUCUGGGAUUGCAGAAAUUGUUGAAUAGAAAUGUUCUUUCCACUGAUAUUUAAAGUCCUUUGUUACAUUUUUUUACACUCAGAAUUUCAGUUAUUGUACAUUUUUGUUAAUUAUUUGGCAUAAAUUAGCAGCUGAAGAAAAUAGAAAGGUUCCAAAUAGGGAAAUGCAAAAAAAAAAAUCUAAUUUUAAAAAUUAACAUAAUUGCUGUAUUUUGUUUUGCUGCUAAGGCAACUGAAGGUUGGCUUUGUUUUUCUAAAGGCCUGAAACCUUUCCUAAUAGUGUCCUGGCUGUGCAGUAUAACAGUGCAAUGAAAAACCACCACAGACUGACAACACCCUAUGAAAGCCCUGUGGGUCAAAUGAGCCAAAAAGGAGGGAAAUUUCCUGUUUUUCUUUCAUUCAAAAGUCCCUCUGACAUUCAGAGAGCCAUGAUUUCUAAUAUUGUUCCUAGUUCUUGAUUAAAGUUAAAGUUAAUUAAAUUCUUUUGGUGAACACUGACAAGGGAAAUUGUAGUGAGAUGGCCCAGGCAUUCCUGGGUACGACUAAAUUUGUCUUUUCUGCCCACAUUUCUAAAACAGCAUUGGACAGCGAGUUCUUCUGCCUCUGUGACCACAAAACCAACCUGCUGCACAGUCAGGGGCACACUGAGAAAGGGCUGAGGCAAUGGAAAAGAAAAAAAAAGGAGAAAAAGAAAAGACGCACUUGCCACAGUCUUUUUCUGGCUAUUUUCGCUCUUUGUGCUCCACCACACAAUACUCAGCAUGACCACAACCAGAGUUUGGGAAGACAGAGAAAGAAGGAGGGGAUGGGGACGAGAAGGGAGGUCAGGAAAGUGGCAGCAUGCAGGAUCUGUCAACGGCCCAUAGAGCUGUCCUCCUCCAAAGCUGCCUCCUCUUCCUCCUACUCUCUUGGUGGUCUUGAUGUGUCCACUGAGGUCAAGAGAAAGACAAACUGUCCAAUCGGAAUCUGGUGCAACGUAAGGUCAGGGGCCACAGGUCGGCUGACAGCAUGGGUCAUAAAGACCGACUGAGCAGCAAUUCCACACCUUCAUUUUCUCUUUAUAGGAAGCUCACAUGAGAACUCUGAGGAAUUCUACAUGAGUUUUGGAAUUUUCUUGCAAAUAUAAAAGCAAACAUUUCUUUCAAAAAAAAAAAAAGCAAAUGUACAUGUUUGCGUUUUUUAUUUUUCUCAAAGAGUGUCAUUUCAGCGUGAAGCGUUUGGUUCAUUCAGCAUCAUUCAGUGGGAUUACAAAGCAGCUCAGUAUCCAGCCACCUGCAGAGGCUGAAUCUGACCCGAACAAAUUAUGUCAGCCGCGUAUGAAACAGAUCCAGUGUGGAGGCGCGCAGAUAAAGGGAACAGACAAAGAGUUCACAGUAAUCUGUGAUCAACCCCGACACACCCGCACCUACAAAGGAAACCCAACUGCUCAGGGCCACGCGCACACACACAUGAACACACACAAACGCACACAAAGCUGGCUAUAUCUAAUCCAGCCUUUUGUAACUCUACACUCUUGACAGAUAGAUGGGAGG